rnacentral:rRNA from 1 species
CCCAGGUUGUCAUGCUAGAGCACUUUUUCAAUGGGCUCCCCAAUGACAAGGUGACGACGCAUUUGUAUGUCAUCCAUAUCAACUUUCGAUGCCAUUUACUGAGCCUACCAUGGUGACCACGGGUAACAGGGAAUCAGGUUUCGAUUCCUGAGAGGGAGCCUGAGAAAUGGCUACCACAUUCAAGGAAGGCAGCAGGCGUGCAAAUGACCCACUCCCGAUGCGGGAAGGUAGUGACG